rnacentral:rRNA from 1 species
GUACGGGGGGGGCAAGCGUUGUUCGGAAUUACUGGGCGUAAAGGGCUCGUAGGCGGCCAACUAAGUCGGACGUGAAAUCCCUCGGCUUAACCGGGGAACUGCGUCUGAUACUGGAUGGCUUGAGUUUGGGAGAGGGAUGCGGAAUUCCAGGUGUAGCGGUGAAAUGCGUAGAUAUCUGGAGGAACACCGGUGGCGAAGGCGGCAUCCUGGACCAACACUGACGCUGAGGAGCGAAAAGCCAGGGGAGCAAACGGG